AUUGACUGGAUGUAAAGCGCAUUUCCAAAUCCAGCAACCCGACCUUUGUUCAAUUCGGGUCCAAGAUACAGAUACAUUAUACAUAGAAGAAACUAGUGGAGUGGAGAGCAGACUGAACACCGCUCAAGCUCAGGGGUUGCAAUCUGAUUAGGGUUUUGCUGCAAGCACUCGACGAGUUAAGCUGAGAUUUUCAUCACCGAAUCCAAUGGCACCACCUCCAGGCCCUUACUCUGGCACCAGCACCCUCGCCUUGGUUGCUCGUGCAUCGGCCUUCACUUUCGGUCUGGUUUAUGGAAGCGUGAAGCUCAGGGUUCUCAAGAUGAAGGCCAAGUCACAUAAGAAAGCUGAAGCCAAGGCUAAACAUUGACGGGCAGAAGUCGUUAGCAGGGCAAGAUCAUUAGAAAUUUUUGCCAGAAGAAACGUUUAUUUUAUGAUUAGUUAGUAAUAUUACAUUGACCAACUCCUACCCUUUAGAAGCUUCAACCAUAGGCUGAGUGCCAGCCUUUGCGGAUUGUUGUUUUGUAGUUGCAUAAGUAGUAUCCUUGAAGAAGCUAUGUGUAAGAGUGGUCUUUGCUCCUGUUUCACUCUUUUAUUUUUAGUUCAAUCGUUGGCAUUUUUUGUGUAGUCUUGAUUCUUGAAAGCAAAUUUUUUAUGUUUUAUUACUUUUGUA